rnacentral:lncRNA from 1 species
GAUCUCGCAGGUCACCCAGACCAUCCGCUACCUCUCAGCCAGGGUUGGGUGGGGUGAGAACAGAGUUUUGGAGGGGGAUCCUCUUUAAGAAAAAGAACGUAAAGCUACAAGCGACAUUAAUACAGAAAUGAAGAUUUAUUCAGAAUGAGAAAUCACAGCAAAUUAUACAUUUCAAAAAGCUGAAAGUUGACAACAUAGACAUCACAAAAACCCAGAAAAGAAUAAAAAUAUAUUUUAUAAACUAUUAUUGAUCCUCUGCUGCCACUCAUCUACAAUGUUUUCAUCUUGCAUGUUUUGGCUAUAUGUUCUCUGAUUUCUUCAUAGGACAAUAAUUUUGUAUUAUCAUUUUCUAUAGGGAGAAAAAAGGUAAUUCUAUCUUUCCUGUAAACAUGGUUGGCCCUAGUUUGGUUGGCCCUCGGUAGUUUGAAAACGUGCAUCUGUUGGCUUCUUUGCUUGGCAUUGGUAAUGUCACACCUCAGCCAUUCUCUGUUCAGCUAUGUGAGCUCCUGAUCAGCCUCCCAGGCCUUUGUCCCUCAAUUCCCCCUCAGCUGCGUCAGCUCAGUCACAGCCUUGCCCACAUGGGCACUUGCCCCUCACCUGCCUCUGCUGCUCCAGUCCUGGGGUAGGGGACAGAGUGGCUAUGGGACCUGGUCGUGAUGACCUCUGAGUGGGAUGCUGAGCAGGGUCUUAUUGGCUCUUUCCUCCUGGAGUUGAAGCGUGUGGAGCCUUGGUGAGUGAGUCCCCCAGAAACACGUGGGAGCCCUGCCAUUGAAGGUGGGCUAGCACCUGUAGUCCUAGGACCCUGCUGGGGAGUGGUGUGUGACAUUUGCUGGGGCAAUGUGCCCUACUGGGGCCACUGUGGCCUCCCAGCCAGCCCUCAAGUAUAAUGCAUUGAGGCACAGAAAGGCCAGUUUUGGGUGUGGGGCCAUGAGGUGCGGGCUCUGGUGGCCUCAUGGUCAGUCCCCCUCUGGUCCUGGGUUAGCAUUUCCCAGAGGGGCCUGGGAUGCCCUGUGAGAAGAGGCUCCCUAGUUGUCUUAGUUCAGGCUACAAAGUACCAUAGACUGGGUGGCUUAUAAACAACAGUCAUUGAUUUCUCACAGCUCUGGUGGCUGGAACUCCAAGCUGGAGUGCCAGCACCACUGAUUUCUGGUGAGGGCUCUCUUCUGGGCUGCAGACAGCUGACUUCUAUCCUUGCAUGGUGGAAAGAGAGCAAAGGAGCGCUCUGUUCUCUUCUUAAAAGUUUACAGCUCACCACUUCCAGCCUGGGAACUCCGUGCUAAUUGAGACUUGGAAAGAAGACAAGCUCCAGCCAUGCUGGGAAGUUUCCUGUCAAGGGCUCCUGAUCACUAAGACAGAUGCAGGGGGCAGAGUUCAACUCUCAACUUGUACCCACAUCUUAAAUGUUACUGGUAAGUCAAACAAAGGCAACUACUUGCCUCUUCAUAUACCCCCGGCUAAUGUCUAGUGGUAUUGUGGGAAAAGGAACCUCUGCAACUUGUUACUGCCCAAUUGAACCGGGACUUGUGCCUUAGUUUAACUGGCCAUUCCAUUCGCUUUGGCAAAUUCCAUAAAAUCCCCGAAAAUCCACAUGGCCACCAAAGUUGGAGAGAUCUAAGAAAUUCCUUUAAUCCCAACAUUUAUGUUAACUCAAUAGGAGCCACUAAAGGAGUACUUAAUGAAUUUAAGGACUAAAGGACACAAAAAUAAAUGUGAAAAUGGGACCAGUAGGGGUAAAAAGAAAAAGAGGAGGGAAUUGAAGGAAGUAAUGUAUACAGCCGUCCAUUUCCAAGACAAAGUGCCUUAAAUCAUCUUAGGGCAGCAAACUACAAAAGAAACUGAAAAUACUAGGUCCCUGCUUGAAUAGCCAAUGCCUGCUUGUCAGCCUCCCCUUCCCCCCACCACCCCACUUAGUUGCCCUCACCGGAACCAAAAAAGUUUAGUCUAAAAUAAAAGUUUACUAGUCUGCAAAAUAGCUCGCUUUGUCUUUUCUUAUCAGUCUGUCCAGCUACUUAGGUCAUAAGUCAAAUACUUGAAGAGCUCAUGAGCUAACUAGGAUUGCUAUGCAUUGUGGGCUGCAACAAAAUGCAGCAAGACAACCCUAAAGAAAACACCUAAAGCCCCUGCCUAACAAUCAAUAGCGACGUCCGUCUGGGAAAAUUGUAACCCUGUAGUACUCAACCUAUGAAGAAUGGCAGGGAAGGACCUGCACACUAGGGGAUAAAUUGCUUGUUAAAACUGUGCUGGGUGUGCCUGUGUGUCAAACACCCAAUCUUGCAAAACUGUCGUUACAAGUCUCACUUUGCUGUCCUGUGGGUCUCUAAGUCCAUUCUUUGAGUUUGAACAGUUAAGUUUGUUUCUCAUAGUUUGAAUGCUUAUUUUUGUACUAAAUGUUGUAUUAGGUAUCUUAUGUUUGCUGUCUUAUUUAAUUCUCACAAUAAACCUACAAAGCAGUGGUAUUCUUUCCAUUUCAUGGAUGAAGAAACUGAGGUUCACGGAGGCUCAGUAACUAAUGCAAGCCAAAUGGGUAGUGGAUGAUGGAGUGGGCUGUGAAUUCAGGUUUUCUUGUAUCACUUGACCACAGGCUAAAUGACAAGGGCUACUCUGGGGCCAAUGACAGCUCCUAAGACCCAGAACACAUGCAUGCCUGUCAGGGCAGAGAAAUUGAGUCUGUUUGGAAGCCAACUUAAGCCUUAGGAAUAUAGCCUUUAGAGCAAACGGUUUUAACCCAGGUCAGCAGAUGGAAUUCAUGGGAUCUAUGAACUUGGACAAGAAACACUUCCGCGUCAUUUUCACUAACUUUUCACUGAAUUUAGCACCUCUCUCACCUAUCACGUAGGCAAUAAAUCAGUGUUGGCCAGACCUGUAACUCUGUCAUUAAAAGAAACUACAGAUAUUUGCAUUUCACGUUACAGUGUUUACCAAUAUCUCAAAAUAUUGCUUAUGCAAUUUGUCAUGACUUUGCAUUUAUAGUAAUUAGACCUGCAGCAGACCUUGUUGUUUGUUACUCACAGAAUAUAUAUAUAUAUAUAUAUAUAAUUAUGUUAUGAAUUAGUUUUCAAAAGUGUUUUGAUAACUGUGGUUUAAUAUAAUUUAUUGGUCUUAUUUUGUGCACUUAAAAAUAUUCUUCUGGAAAAGCCUCCAUAUGCCCCACCAGACUGUCAGAGGACUCCAGAUACAGAACGGUCUCGAUGCCCUGACUCAGCAAGAGUGACUGAGUCAAAUCCUGACUGUCUCAUAUACCAGCUGGAGGACAUUAAGUUCUGUAGCCUGGUGGGAUGUCUCUCCUAAAUCAGGGUUUCUCAGCCUUGGCCCUGUUGAUGUUAGGGCUGCAUAAUUCUUUGCUGGGGAUGGUAUGGGGGUGAAUGGGGGCUAGCUCGUGCACUGUGGGAUGUGUGACAUUCCUGGCCUUGACCCACAAGAUGCAAUAGUACCCCACCCCCCAGUAUAUUCCUGGCCUUGACCCACAAGAUGCAAUAGUACCUCACCCCCCGGUUGUGACAACCCAAAAUGCCUCCUCUAGACAUUGUCUCAUGCCCCUGUGGGCAAGAUGGCCCAGUUGAGAACUGCUGUGCUAGAUGUGCAAUGUGAUAUUAGAGGAUUCUUGGGAGUACACUGCGAUCAUGCCUCAAUGCCUGAGUGCUCCAUGUGGCGCUCUAUCCUGUUUUUGUUAGGACACCAGAUUUCAGUAAGUUCAGGGUCAAGAGGGACUGGUCUCUCAGCCUGAGGGUCCACAAGGAAGUCCCUCUGGAGGGUUGGCAGCCUGCACUGGGGUGAUUCCAACUGGGAGUCCAGGGGAGCCCAGUCCUGGCGAGCUGAUGAUGGGAUGGAGAAGAACAGUGACUCAUGGGUGCCUACGGGUGCCCCGGACCUGAAAGAUAGACAGCAGGGGCUAACCCCAGAUAGGCAGGAGUGUAGAAAAUGCCUUCUCCAACCUCAGGGGAUUCUUGGUUCUUUUAAAGCCAGAAGAAUGAGGAUGGCAGGGCCACAAGCUGCCCUAAAGGAUGAUGCAGUGCUGCAGGAGAUUAAGAGGAAGGGGGCAUUUUUAAAUUCUUUUGGAGUACUGAAGGGGAAAUAACAGAAUGGUGAGAGAAGCUACUGGUUUUGAGUGUUGACACCAUGCCAGGUGCUGUUCUAAGCAGCCUAUGUCAACAUGGUACUUAAUUCUUACAGCUAACUAGGAGGUAGAUGCUGUCAAUGUCCUCAUUUGGCAAGGCUCUGAGGCUUAAAUGUCCACUGUCUUGCCUGACUUUCCUUCUGUAAAUGACAGAACUGAAAUGUAAGCCCAGAUGUGUCUAAUUUCAGUGCCCAUGAGUUAAAUCAAUAGGUAGCACUGCCCAAAUGCCAUUCCAGAUACCCAGAAAACCCAAAGCUGAUACUGCUAAACAAAGGUUAGGGGCCCGUGAGAAACUACAGAGGUCAGAGCACUCCUAAGAGACUGAAGGGGCUCAUCUGGGACAGUGUUUGACAAAAAUGCAGGAGAAGGCGGGCCUUCUGUGGACCUCCUGUGACCUAUGGACUUGGGAAUUCCUUGCCUUGUGAAUUCCAUGCCGAUGUUAGACAAGCAUCUGGAUCAAUUACUAAACCUACGUCUCGUCAGCCCUUAGAUGCCAAAUGUGUGGUUGAUAAGAAUCAUUGUCAUUUUUUGACUUUUUAAUAAUAGCCAUUCUGACUGGUAUGAGAUUGGGUAUUUUUAUUCUAAAUAAAUAUUCUUUUUUAUAACAACAACAAACAAAUCACUGUAAGAUCAUAAGUUAACAAAGAACAAAUCAUGCCAGACAAACUUCGUUCUUCUUUAUGGCUCUGCUCUCCUGAUGGCUUGGUGGGAGGUGGGGGUGGAGGGGAAUCUGCAGAUGGCUUUCCAUAGAGCAUCUGCUCCCAGCUCUCAUGAAAUCCGUGAGGACAGAUUUGGAAACAUGAGCUAGACAAUACCAGGGCAGGCUGCUUUCUGGUGGGUUAAAGACCUGUGCUCCAAGGGAACUGAUUAGCCAAUAUGGGCUUAGAGGAAUUCUCAGUGGCAAACUGGAGAUGAUUCAACAAUCAGAAUGAAAAAUGUCACCGUGACAUACUUGUGGAGAAAAGCAAACAGCACCAAGCAAGUAGAUUUUCACUAUAUCUGAGAUACCAGGGAGGGGAGCCAGUAUUACAAAAUUGCCUGGAUUUAAUGAUGAUGAUAAUAGGUAACACCUUUAAGUAUGUACUCUGUCCCCAGGUGUGGUUCUAAGCAUUUUACAUAAAUUAGUUCCUUUAGCACCUCCCAACAACCCUACAAAGUAGGUUAUAUUAUUUUCCACAUUUUACAGUUGAGGAAACUGAGGCGGAGAAUGAUUUCAUAGUUACCAGAUGCCUGAGAUUUAGAGUCCCAUUUAGCUCUGAGAUUGUAUUGGAAGGUGGGGAAAGAGUGGCUUGUAUGUGCACAAAAAGAAGAUAAUCACGGUGUGCCAAGGGGCUUAGCUGUCCCUUUCUCUGGGAGAUUUUUCUCUACCUCCCAAGUGGGGCUAGCGGCCUCUCCUAUGCACUCACAAGGCAUCCGGUACAUGGCGCUGUCCCUGCCCCUCCCCGAGGUUUAUAAUUUCCUAUGUGCAUGUUUGCCUCCCCUCUAGAUUCAUUUCAUCCCUUUAGGACCCUCAGCUUUGAGCACAGUGGCAACGCUGGGGUUUCCAGAAGUGUUGGUAAGGGGAUUGAAAUGAAUGUAAAGAUUGUAAAGUCUGAAGAAGAGACAGAAGGCCCUGGGGCCAGGGGGCAUGCAUGUGUGACAAAAUCUCAACCAAAGGCCACAGGGGAUGAGAAGAUAGAAGGAAGAAGUUGUCAUCCCCUGGAGCAUGGUAUUGAGGGAACCUGUGGGAUGGUCUUUCCCCAAGGCCUCGAUGGCCUCGCGGGGAGAGACCAUGGUAUAGACUCACUGGCCUCUCAUAAGCUUCUCCAGCUCCACAAGCCAAGAAGCCUAUGAAGUCUGUGGAGUUUCAAGUGCUGCACACUGGGCUGCUCACCUUUUCCUUUUAGAGUAAAGAGAUCAAGAAGACAUGGAGGAAAUGUAAAGAUAUAUUGGAAAGUACGUGGUAUAUAAUAUUAACUAAAGUCAAUAGUUUACAUUAGGCUUGGCUCUUGACUUCAGUUAAUAUUAUAUACCACAUAUUGAUUAAUCAGUUGUAACAGUUGUACCACACUAGUGCAAGAUGUUAAAAUAAAAAAAGGUGUGUGUGUGUGUGUGAGAGAGAGAGAGAGAGAGAGAAACAGAAAGACAGAAACAGAUGAGGUGUAUGGGAACUCUUUUUUUAGCAAUUUUUCCAUAACCUAAAAUUGUUCUAAAAAGUAAAAUCUAUUAAAACAAUACAGAGAUCUCUGUGAUCGCACCUAGAACAUACCCGGGAAAUACUGCUGAUGCACUCAUGUGCACUCACAGGAAUCACAGAACUAUACAGAGAUGGGCGCCCUCCUCAUUCCUUGGGGUAGACAGAUAUAGAAACAGGCUCAGCCAACAUCAGAUGUAACUUGCUCACUUUCUUUCCACUUCCCUUCAAUAAAUAUGCAGUAGGUGAACAUGCUUCAUAGAAUGGGAAAUGCUACACAAUUAUUAAAAACGUGUGGGCUAAAUCAAUCUAAGAGAUUGAAGAGAGCUGCUUCAAGUCAUUAUACUCAAGUGGACUCUGGGAGGGGUAGCCUUAGCAUCUGCUCCUUCUGGCCAAGGGCCAAAUGGAUUGGGGUCCCGAGCACAUCCACAGGAGGCCAGAAUGGCUGUAACUGGUGUCUCUUGUCCUGAUUAGAGGGUGAGGGCGGCUUCAGAGUUUCUAGAGUGUGGCCCCCGUCCUAAGGGGGCAUUGGGAUGGGGCUGCUCCUGAGCUGGGAGAAGGAGCUGGGAUGAGUGUCAGGCAGUUGCUGAGGGGUGGAGGAGAAGGAGCGAGCAGUUGCUAAGAGAGCUGGCAGGAGUGGAGCUGGGUGAUGUUUGACUCUGGAUUAAAAAAAUUUUUUAAGCAAGCAAAGAGAAUUUCCACUCUGCCAGAGCUAGGAGACCUUUGAGACCAUCUCUUCCAUCUUCUCACUCUAUAGCUGAGGAAACAGGGCCUGGAGGGAUCCCCCAGAGACCCAGUGGCAGUCCCACACUAGGCUGGGCUGUCCCUGACUCCUAGGCUCAUGCUUUGCAAAAUUGAAUGGGCCUGCAAAACAGCUCUCAAGCCUGAGCACUUCUCCCAUCUCACCCAAGUAACUCCUCUGCCUUGAGCCUUUUAACGGCUUCUCAUUCUGAGAGGAACCACUUACCUCCCCUACCAUGGUAUCUCAGGCCUUGACAGGCUGUCCUUCUCAUCUCUC